UAGUCUGGAGAAAAGGAGGCUCAGGAGGCACCUUAUUGCUCUCUAAAACUAUCUGAAAGCAAGCUGUUAUCAGAUAGAAACACAUGUAAACCAGUGAAUGACCAAUGACAGCAAAUACCAACUGUAUUUCCUCUAAGAUACAGGUACUCUGAAUAGUAUUUAUCUUUUUACACCGUGAGUUACUGAGAGGAGGAACUGUGAUUUCAUACAAUUGUCUAAGGACCUAGUCUAAUGGAGACCAGAUUAUCAUCUCAAUACUUUGUGAUCUCUGGCAUUCCUCAGUAUCAGGCUUCCUUGACGGUUACAUGGGGCUCUCCACACUUCAACUCUCCACAGUUCAAACAGGAUCUUGCCAA